AUUGAACGCUGGCGGCAGGCCUAACACAUGCAAGUCGAACGGUAACAGGAAACAGCUUGCUGUUUCGCUGACGAGUGGCGGACGGGUGAGUAAUGUCUGGGAAACUGCCUGAUGGAGGGGGAUAACUACUGGAAACGGUAGCUAAUACCGCAUAACGUCGCAAGACCAAAGUGGGGGACCUUCGGGCCUCUUGCCAUCGGAUGUGCCCAGAUGGGAUUAGCUAGUAGGUGGGGUAACGGCUCACCUAGGCGACGAUCCCUAGCUGGUCUGAGAGGAUGACCAGCCACACUGGAACUGAGACACGGUCCAGACUCCUACGGGAGGCAGCAGUGGGGAAUAUUGCACAAUGGGCGCAAGCCUGAUGGAGCCAUGCCGCGUGUAUGAAGAAGGCCUUCGGGUUGUAAAGUACUUUCAGCGGGGAUGAAGAGAGUAAAGUUAAUACCUUUGCUCAUUGACGUUACCCGCAGAAGAAGCACCGGCUAACUCCGUG
rnacentral:rRNA from 1 species